rnacentral:piRNA from 1 species
UUGGAUCCUGUCACACACAACUGUUG